UGAAAUAACUUCUGAUGGGGAGUGUUCAGGUGAAGAUGUUGCUGUUUGUUUCACAGACAAGGCGUGGACGUUGCUGGAUCUUGACCAGAAAGCUCAGCAUAAAGAGGUCAAGGAGGAGAAUCGUGGGAUCAUGGACUCUCUUGGUAAGGCUCCCUGUUGGAUCAUAACAUGUUGUGAUUGCAGAUGGAGUGGAUUCCAUGACUGAGCCAGAACAAAAUCCAUCCCAGAUAAAAGCCAAGCAAUAUCUCAGUUAAUACCAGCCAACUAAGGAAGUGAAACCUAUAGGACGGCCUCACAUCUCAUUCUCUUCAGAUCUUCCUCUGUCACAAGCAUUCAUUAACAUUGUUCAAUAAUCUGGAGCUCCCAUUUCCUCCUGAGACUCUAAUUAGCAUCUCUCUUCAUUGCAGGUGGUGAUGACUUAGAAGGGAAGAACAAGGGAGAGCACAACAGGAUCCACAUAGCGGAGAAGUCAUGUAAAUAUUCAGAGUGUGGAGAGAACAUCCGUCAGAGCUCCCAGUCCAACUCCCAUCAAAGAAAGAGCUUCAUUCGAAGGAAUAGCCUCACUUCACACGAAAUAACACAGAGUAGGGAGAAAUCGUAUCAGUGCUUGGAGUGUGGAAAGAGCUUCAGCCAGAGGGCCCAUCUCACUUCUCAUCAAAUAAUUCAUACAGGGGAGAAGCCCUAUCAGUGCUUGGAAUGUGGAAAGAGCUUCAAUCGAAAGAAUAAUUUCACUGUGCAUCAAAGAAUUCAUACAGGGGAAACCAUAUCAGUGCUUGGAAUGUGGAAAGAGCUUUCGUGUGAGUGGUGAACUCACUUCCCACCAAAGAAUUCAUACAGGGAGAAACCCUAUCAGUGCUUCGAAUGUGGGAAGAGCUUUCGUGUGAGUGGUGA